rnacentral:rRNA from 1 species
CCUACGGGGGGCAGCAGUAGGGAAUCUUCCACAAUGGACGCAAGUCUGAUGGAGCAACGCCGCGUGAGUGAAGAAGGUCUUCGGAUCGUAAAACUCUGUUGUUAGAGAAGAACACGAGUGAGAGUAACUGUUCAUUCGAUGACGGUAUCUAACCAGCAAGUCACGGCUAACUACGUGCCAGCAGCCGCGGUAAUACGUAGGUGGCAAGCGUUGUCCGGAUUUAUUGGGCGUAAAGGGAACGCGGGCGGUCUUUUAAGUCUGAUGUGAAAGCCUUCGGCUUAACCGGAGUAGUGCAUUGGAAACUGGAAGACUUGAGUGCAGAAGAAGAGAGUGGAACUCCAUGUGUAGCGGUGAAAUGCGUAGAUAUAUGGAAGAACACCAGUGGCGAAAGCGGCUCUCUGGUCUGUAACUGACGCUGAGGUUCGAAAGCGUGGGUAGCAAACAGGAUUAGAUACCCUGGUAGUC